AACGAACGCUGGCGGCAUGCCUAACACAUGCAAGUCGAACGAGACCUUCGGGUCUAGUGGCGCACGGGUGCGUAACGCGUGGGAACCUGCCCUUAGGUUCGGCAUAACUCCCCGAAAGGGGUGCUAAUACCGGAUAAUGUCUUCGGACCAAAGAUUUAUCGCCUUUGGAUGGGCCCGCGUUGGAUUAGCUAGUUGGUAGGGUAAAAGCCUACCAAGGCGCCGAUCCAUAGAUGGUCUGAGAGGAUGAUCAGCCACACUGGGACUGUGACCCGGCCCAGACUCCUACGGGAGGCAGCAGUGGGGAAUAGUGGACAAUGGGCGAAAGCCUGAACCAGCAAUGACGCGUGAGUGAUGAAGGCAUUAGGGUUGUAAAGCGCUUUUACCCGGGAUGAUAAUGACAGUACCGGGAGAAUAAGCUCCGGCUAACUCCGUG
rnacentral:rRNA from 1 species